UAGGUGGCGGCAUGCACAAACAUAAUAUGUGAACGCCAUGAUACCAAAGAAGAAGAACUGCUAAACGUUGUUAGGCUUUAGCUUCUGGAGAGCGUCAGAGAGGGAACGAGGGCGGCUACAUUUUUGCAAUGCCGAAUAAAGCGAAAAAAGAGAAGGAGUCGGGAAAAGUUGUAAAAACUGGAGGUCAAGAAAACGACCAUGAGCAGGGUUCCAAUAGGAAAGGCAGUAACAGCGUCCCUCCCGCCACUCAGCUGCUGAAGGGCAAGCAGCCGAGUUCCCAGACGCCGGUCAAGAAGGACAAGAGGCAGAGCUCGUCCCGCUUCAGCCUCAGCAACAACAGAGAGCUUCAGAAGCUGCCUGCCUUCAAAGAUGUCCCGCCGGCGGAGCAGGAAAAGUUGUUUGUCCAGAAGCUGCGUCAGUGCUGCGUCCUGUUUGACUUUCUGUCGGACCCUCUGAGCGACCUGAAAUGGAAGGAGGUGAAGCGGGCAGCGCUCAGCGAGAUGGUGGAGUACAUCACCCACAACAGGAACGUCAUCACAGAGCCCAUCUACCCAGAGGUGGUGCAUGUGUUUGCAGUGAACAUGUUCAGGACAUUGCCUCCAUCAUCCAACCCCACAGGGGCUGAGUUUGACCCAGAGGAGGAUGAGCCCACUCUAGAGGCCGCGUGGCCACACCUCCAGCUCGUCUACGAGUUCUUCCUCCGGUUUCUGGAGUCUCCCGACUUUCAACCAAAUGUGGCCAAGAAGUAUAUCGACCAGAAAUUUGUAAUGCAGCUAUUAGACCUGUUUGACAGUGAAGACCCUAGGGAAAGGGACUUUCUAAAGACCACUCUGCAUCGCAUCUACGGAAAGUUCCUGGGCCUGAGAGCGUACAUCAGGAAACAGAUCAAUAACAUAUUCUAUAAGUUCAUUUAUGAAACAGAACGUCAUAACGGAAUAGCAGAGUUAUUGGAAAUAUUAGGAAGCAUAAUCAAUGGCUUUGCCUUACCGUUGAAAGAGGAGCACAAGAUUUUCCUGUUGAAAGUGUUGCUGCCUUUACACAAAGUCAAGUCCCUUAGUGUCUAUCACCCACAGCUGGCUUAUUGUGUGGUGCAGUUUCUAGAGAAGGACAGCACUCUCACAGAACCGACGGUGAUGGCUCUGUUGAAGUACUGGCCGAAGACGCACAGUCCAAAGGAGGUGAUGUUCCUCAAUGAGCUGGAGGAAAUCCUGGACGUCAUCGAACCCUCUGAGUUCGUCAAGGUCAUGGAGCCUCUCUUCAGACAGCUGGCCAAGUGUGUGUCCAGCCCUCACUUCCAGGUGGCAGAGAGAGCGCUGUACUACUGGAACAAUGAGUACAUCAUGAGUUUGAUCAGUGACAAUGCUGCCAGGAUCCUCCCUAUCAUGUUCCCCUCGCUCUACCUCAACUCCAAGACCCACUGGAACAAGACGAUCCACGGUCUGAUAUACAACGCCCUGAAGCUCUUCAUGGAGAUGAACCAGAAGCUGUUUGAUGACUGCACACAGCAGUUCAGAACAGAGAAAAACAAAGAGAAGGCCAAGUGGAAAGAGAGAGAAGAGGCGUGGGUGAAGAUUGAGAAUCUGGCCAAGUCCAACCCUCAGUUCCUGGUGUACGUGGACCCGUCAGACCUGGGUAGUCCUAUGGAGACAGACGGACCAAUGAUGGAGGAUGUUAACAUCUUGAAGAAGACCAUAGAGGAAGAAGCCACGCAGGUACUGUGUGUUGGGGGGGCGUGCGGGCUAGCGUGCUAUUCCUCUGACGUCCUCCAUGCAGUCAGUGCAUUGAAUUAGACUGUUCGUGUGAAGGUUCAGAGCACAGUCUCCCGAGCUGUUUGAAAUGUAGCAUCAGAAUCUGGUGCUUCCAGAAUCUGGCUGCAGUUUUAACCCUGGAGUCUAAGCCUGGGUGGGGGGUGUUCUAAGCUAACAUUAUGGAAUUGUUUAAGAUGGCCAUACCAAGUAUCAUGUAGCUAUUAGAUGUGUAAUUUAAAGGCCCCUGAAGGUAGAGGGUGAUAUCGGCGGAUGUGGUGUUUUGAGACGCUGCUCAUGCAAAAACAUCUCUAGCUUCAACAGUCAGAUGUUGAUGGGAUUUUGUAUUAUUAUGUUCAUUAGAUUCCCGCUGGGGUGCAGAAAUUGUAGGCUAAGGGUUAAGAGGGGUGGAGACAGACGUGUAGGAACAGGAGUAGUGCAGCAUGGGUAGGAGUAGAAGUACGCCAUUCACAGCCCUCUCCUUGCCUACUGCCCAGGCUGUCAUAAAUGGCACCAUAUCCUCUAUAUAGUGCGCUACUUUCAACAGAGCCCUAUGGGCCCCAGUAAAAAGUAGUGCACUACAUAGGGAAUAGGGUGCCAUUUGGGAUGUAAUGUAGGUUGGAGAGGGACAGGGUCGGGGAAGAGGGCUGUGAGUGAUGUACUUAUUGGCAGAAUCAUAUCUAUAGGCAGGCUCACAUUUCUAAGGCAGGGGAGAGCUGACGGUAAUGUAUACACUUCAUACAGGACUACGACAUAUCUAGGACAUGAUGGAUUGAGCUGAGUUGGGUAUACAAGUUGAGAUCUAGUCAAGACGUGAUAGACCUAGUUAAACGUUCUAUUUGAAUUCUAGCAGCACUGAGGACUAUCAAGGACUAGAGAAGGUUUUUUUAGGUUGAUGGACUCUGGAUGUGUAACUGUCUCUUGAAGAGGAUGUGUGAUCAGUCUAAUGCCUCCAUAAGACCAGGCACUACUUCUAGCAAUCAAACAAUUGGAGGUCAUUCAUUAUCAAAGGUGGGAGCGAGAAACAAGGAUGCACCAUAGUGCCCUCAAAGCUCACCACUAAGCUUAGGACCCUGGGACUAAACACCUCCCUCUGCAACUGGAUCCUGUACUUCCUGACGGGCCGCCCCCAGGUGGUGAGGGUAGACAACAACACAACAUCCCCACAUCUGCGGCGCUGGUCCUCAACACAGGGGGGCCCCUCAGUGGUGUGUGCUUAGUCCCUUCCUGUACUCCCUGUUCCCUGUUCACCCACAACUGCGUGGUCAAGCAUGACUCCAACACCAUCAUUAAUCAAUCAAUCAGAUGUAUUUAUGAAGCCCUUUUUACAUCAGCAGAUGUGCUGUAAAGAAACCCAGCCUAUAACCUCAAACAGCAAGAAAUGCAGAUGUAGAAGCACGGUGGCUAGGAAAAACUCCCUAGAAAGGCACAGCGGUGGUAGGACUGAUCACUGUCAACAAUGAGACAGGGAGGUCAGAGACCUUGACAGUGUGGUGCCAAGACAACAACCUCUACCUCAAUGUUAGCAAGACGAAAGAGCUGAUCGUUAGCUACAGGAAAAGGAGGGCUGAACAGGCCCCCAUUAAACAUUGACGGGGCUGUCGUGUAGUGGGUCAGGAGUUUGAAGUUCCUUGGUGUACACAUCACCAACAAACUAUCAUGGUCUAAACACAGCAAGACCAUGUUCUCUCUUCUACUGCAUAGCAAGUGGUACCAGAGCGCCAAGUCUAGGUCCAAAAUGCUCCAUUAGACCGCUUAACACAUAAUCAAAUGGCCACCCGGACUACUUACAUUGACCCCCCCCCCCGUCAGGAAUUUUUCAGUUUUUGAUUUGUUAAAAAAGUUUGAAAUAUCCAAUAAAUGUCGUUCCACUUCAUGAUUGUGUCCCACUUGUUGUUGAUUCUUCACAAAAAAAAUAGUUUUAUAUCUUUGUUUGAAGCCUGAAAUGUGGCAAAAGGUAGUAAAGUUCAAGGGGGGCGAAUACUUUCGUAAGGCACUGUAGGUUUGUUAUUAUUUUAUUGUAACUUUAAUUUAAAUAUAGUUUAAAUAUAUUUAAUGUAUUUUUUAUUUUUUUCUUAAACCAACAAUGCAGUUCAAGAAAUAAAGUUAAGGGCUUGUAAGUAAGCAUUUCACGCUCCAGAGGAACGAGCGUAAGGAGCGUCCGCUGGUCAGGAGGAAGUCUGAGCUGCCUCAGGACAUCUCCACCGUCAAGGCCCUGGAGACGCACCGGAGGGCCAAUGAUGUGGUCACACCACACGACGGACACUAAAGACACACGCACGUACACGAACAAACACGUACAGACAGUCUCUCUCUCUCUGACACACACACACACACACACGCACGCACACGUACAGACAGUCUCACACACAGACGUACAGGCAGUCUCUCUCACACACAGACGUACAGGCAGUCUCUCUCACACACACACGUACACACACACACGUACACACACACACGUACACACACACACGUACACACACACACGUACACACACACACGUACACACACACACACACACACACACACGUACACACACACACACACACGUACAGACAGUCACACACACACACGUACAGACAGUCGCACACACACACGUACAGGCAGUCGCACAUACAGACGUACAGACAGUCGCACAUACUGUCAGACACCACAUACUGACAGACAGACCAGCCCCGGGGGGCCCAGAACAGUCCAGCACAGACAAGGUCCAGAAUAGAACAAAACAGAAUGGCCUGGCUGAAAGAAGCUGCAGCUCAAACAACUCCACCAGUCCAACUCUGAAGUGUUCCCCAGUUCGCUACAGCCCUGCCCAGAGAUGUCAAUGGCACAGGGCUGUAUGGCUUGACCACGAAACAUGACAUUGUUGCCCACCCUCCCUCCCUCUCUCUGUCUUGUAAAAGCAGUGCUGUCCCCUUGUGGUCAUUUUUCUCAGGUCUUCUGUUAUUGUUUUAAUUUGUUGGGUUCUUUCUGUUUUUCUCUCAUCCUCAUUCUAGAUGUCAUGUGCACUGGCAAUAGGAUUGGCAGACAGACAUGUAUUAUAGAUGCAUACUGUACGUAAUGGGUGAAGGAAGAAGCAGUUUAGUCUCCUCUCUCGCUCUCUCAGCAUAGAGAGGAAAGCACAGUCCUUCUCUCUCAUGUUUAUUCUUUGUUGCCUAGUUACUGCUGCUAUUGCCAUAAGCCUAAUAUUUUUCUUGUGUUUUGCUAGGAUUGAUUUGAUGGGAGGGGAAUUAUUGGGGACCGCCAAGAGACGUAAUAAAGUUGUGGCUCUAAAUGUGCUUGGCUUAGUGAAAGGGGGGUUCUUCUGUCCACUGGACAUCAGCUGGUCUGUACAGACCUAGUUUGGUUCCAACCUCACGCUUGCUUUUUCUUGCUUUUUUAAAAAACUUAUCCACCCUUUCUUAGCUGUAUGAUAUUGUAGGCAAUAAGUUGCAGUGUGUUUGGUUGGUUCGAACAAUGGUUAAUGUUUUUCUAAGACUGAGGGCACAGCACAUCAAUUGUUUUCUGGAUCCAUUGGAGUUUACUGUCCAUGUGAACACGUCAAUCCCAUUCCCUGUCGGUCUGUUCGUGUCUUCAUUCGUAAUCAGUAUUGAUCAAGACAUCCAAGUCAUGUUAGUGUUGUGAAAGCUGAGGUCUGUGUUCUAGUUCAGUGUUUAGACUCCCAUUGAGCUGUAGUGUGGGAGGAGCUGUACUGGGCUACACACAGAGGAAUACCUGCUCCUCACUGCUCUCUACUCUUCAUAACCAAGACCCCUCUCUUUCUGAUGUUGCUUCUAUACCUUGGUAACUAAGUAGCCUAGUUCAGUCACAUAAGAUCAUUCUGUCUGUAGUCAGUCAAAAUUCAUCACAAGCCUUUCCUUUCAUAGUGCCUUUAUUGUACAAGCGGCUAAACUGAGAGUAGAAUAGCAGUGUUAUGUGAAUGCAGAACCAUGUUCAAUUUAGCAUUAGCUUCCCAACAGACCAGAGAGACGCACGUUGAAACACAAUGACACUCACACCUACCCACAGAGUAUGUAGGGCCAUGUUUAGUGUAAAACGCAUACAAGUUGUUUUUGUUAAAUAUACAAAGCAGAUCAAUGAUUGUGGUCAAGCUAGAGAGGAGUGGGUAAGCCCCAAAGACUUAAGAUAGAAGCACUUCCUGAUAAAACUUGAAGAAUAAAAACCCAAGAUCCAAAAUGAAUUAAUAAUUUGUGCUUUCUGGUCUGUUUAGUUAUGUCAGUUCCUCUGUGUGCCUGAUGAAAAAACGUGUAGAGAAGGAUGCUUCUCAUUCAACCUGAUCUUAUUACCCCUUGCCCUGUUCUAUUUAGGAUGUCCCCCAAAUGGCACCUUAUUCCCCUAUGGACCGUGAUCGAAAGAAGUGCACUAUAUAGGAAAUAGUGUGCCAUUUUAAGAUGCACCAUUGUUUGAGUCCCCAGACAGACAUGCACUCUGGCUGUAUCCCUGUAGAGAAGCUCUGUGUGAGACACUACUUCUGGAUGUGUGCAGGGUCUUUUCCAUUGCCUGCAAAAACUCUGAUGUUCAGAUUGAAUGUGCAAAUUGUAAAUAUAUUACUAUCACGAUAUUUCACUGUCUCUUUCUAGAUUAUUUUCUUUGUCUUAAAGAAUAUCAUUCACCAUAAAUGUAUGCCACCCCCCAACUAUUUUGCUGUAAAAUUACUAAAAGGAGGUAUAGAGUGCUUUUAUAGAUGGAACAAACAAAACUGGAUGGCACCAGGGUUUUGGGUCAAUUUAAGGAAGUAAUCUGAAAUACAAAUGUUCCUCAUUGCUUCACAGAGGAGAAUUGGAAUUUCAGUUGACUGAAUGUGACUGGAUCCCUGGCUGUUCCCAGUGUCCUGAGAGCAGAGAGGACUCUGGUGACUGUUGUUCUUCAUCAAAUUGCUUUAAUAUUGUAGCCUCUGUGGCGCGCUCUAUAUUUUACAUACAGUGCAUUUGGAAAGUAUUCAGACCCCUUGACUUUAGCCACAUUUUGUUACGUUACAGCCUAAUUCUAAAAUGUAUUAAGUUGUUUUCCCCCGUAUCAAUCUAAUCACAAUACCCCAUAAUGACAAAGCAGAAAGUUUUUUUAAUUAAAAAAAAAAAUUUGGGCAAAUUUUGUAUUUAAAUUAUUGUUUUUUUUGUUUUUUUUAUCUAGCACAUUUACAUAAGUAUUUAGACCCUUUACUCAGUACUUUGUUGAAGCACCUUUAGCAGUGAUUACAGCCUUCAGUCUUCUUGGGUAUGAUGCUACCAGCCUGGAACACCUGUAUUUGGUGAGUUUCUCCCAUUCCUCUCUGCAGAUCCUCUCAAGCUCUGUCAGGUUGGAUGGGGAGCAUUGCUGCACAGCUAUAUUCAGGUCUCCCCAGAGAUGUUCUAUUGGGUUCAAGUCCAGGCUCUAGUUGGGCCACUUAAGGCCAUUGAGACUUGUCCCGAAGCCACUCCUGCAUUGUUUUGUCUGUGUGCUUAGGGUCGUUGUCCUGCUGAAAUGAGAAUCUUUGCCCCAGUCUGAGGUCCUGAGUGUGAUGAAAACCUGUUCCAGGAAUGGUCUCGCUGAACUUUUCUCUGUUCAUCUUUGCCUCAAUACUGACUAGUCUCCCAGUCCCUGCUGCUGAAAAACAUCCCCACAGCAAUGAUGCCACCACCACCAUGCUUCCAUGUAGGGAUGGGGCCAGGUUUCUUCCAGAUGCUUGGUAUUCUGUCCACAGAGGUUGAUCUUUGUUUUAUCCGAGCAGAGAAUCGUCUUUGUCAUGGUCUGAGUCUUUAGUUGCUUUAUGGCAAACUCCAAGCAGGCUGUCGUGCCUUUUUACUGAGGAGUGGCUUUCUUCUGGCAACUCUACCAUAAAGGUCUGAUUGGUGGAGUUCUGCAGAGAUUGUUGUCCUUCUGGAAGGUUCUCCCAUCUCCACAGAGGAUCUCUGGAGCUCUGUCAGUGACCAUUGGGCUCUUGGUCACAUCCCUGACCAAGGCCCUUCUCCCCAGACCGCUGAGCGGCCAGCUCUAGGAAGGAUCUUGGUGGUUCCAAACUUCCUCUAAGAAUGGAGCCCACUGUGUUCUUGGGGACCUUCAAUGCUGCAGAAAUGUUUUGGUGCCCUUCCCCAGAUCUGUGCCUCGACACUCCUGUCUCGGAACCUCUACGGACAAUUCCUUUGACCACAUGGCUUGGUUCUUGCUCUGACAUGCACUGCCAACUGUGGGACCUUAUAUAGACAGGUGUGUGCCUUUCCAAAUCAUGUCCAAUCAAUUGAAUUUACCAGAGAUGUUUCUUCAACUUGGUUGGAGUCCAUCUCAAGGAUGGUCCAUGGAAACAGCAUUCACCUGAGCUCAAUGUUAAGUCUCAUAGAAAAGGGUCUGAAUACUUAUGUAAAUAAGGUAUUUCUGUUUUUUUGUUUUUUUAAAUUGGCAAACUUUUUUUAUUUUUUAAACGGGUUUCCCUUUUGUCAUUGUGGGGUUCUGUGUAGAUCGCUCACUAGUUUUUUUUUUUCUGUCCAUUUUAGAAUACAGCUAAAGUAACAAUGUUGGAAAAGUCAAGGGUUCUGAAUACUUACAGUGCGAAGGCACUGUACGGUUUUGUUUAUUUUGAAAAUAAUGAUUCUGUGUCUUUUGGUAUACACCCUGUAUGAUAAUUGGCCUCAUCUAAUAUUGUACAUAUAAGGUACUUUUAUUUUGUUAUAGCUACUACAUUGUAGAUGUAAUAUUUUGUACAGAAUGUCCCCUGUGUACAGAAAACAACGGUUAUUAGCUACCACAGUUGAUGUGGCACAGACUUCAACACGUGACCUAUAUGCAUUUAGAACAGUUUUGAAUUUGGAUUCUACUAUUUUUUUAUCGAUUUGUAAUCCAAGAUUUUCUUUGUUUCAGCAUUGUAAAGUAUGUGAUGAUGUUCCUACAUACAUCUGCAUUGUGUGCUUUUAUCCAAAUUCUCCAGUGGUGUACAUCUAUCUAGCUGUAUAUGGUAAAUAAAGAGAACAUGUGAGUUUUUAUAUUUUCA